UAUGUCACAGAAGUGAAACCGAACGAGGUACUGAAAUCCAGGAUCAACAUUGAACUGCCAGGUCACAUUGAAAUUGCUGCUGGGAUUAUCUGCUGAGUUCAUCAUGGUCGCAGUAUCAUAAACAGCAUUAGGAGCAAUAUCUGGUGUUGCUCCACCAUCUACAUACUUCACAGCGCCGAUUCUUGAUAUGUUUGUUGCAAAAUUCUUAUUGAUGAGAAAACUUUGAUCAGGAACCCAAGUUCGCCCAAGGGUAUCAUUUUCAGGGAGAAUUGUUGGUCCACCCAUGUUCACCCUAAAAAUGGUCUCCAGUGCCUGUGAAAGCAUGCCUUGGAAUUUCCCCAACGGAUUAAAAGUGCUGGCACCAUCUGUAAUGAGUGUAUCAGGGACGGAAACAACUUCCAAGGCAUUCAAGAAUGCAAAUGAAUUGCUGGAUGGGGUGAAAGUAAUUUCAAGGCUACUCGAGGUUACGUUAACUGAAAAUUCUUUAACAACAUUAGAGUUCACACUGAAAUUGCUCAUAAGGACAUGGUCUUGGGUGGAAACAUGAAAAUUUGCCUUGCUCAUAUUGUAACUAUCAUGAACAAAUGGAUAAAAAUAAAGGCGAAUCCAAUGUCUUCCAGGUUGCUGAAU
rnacentral:misc_RNA from 1 species